GCGGCGGACGGGUGAGUAAUGCUUGGGGAUCUGCCCUGUUGUGGGGGAUAACAGUUGGAAACGACUGCUAAUACCGCAUAAUAUUUACGGAUCAAAGGUGGCCUCUCCUUGGAAGCUAUCGCAAUAGGAUGAACCCAAGUGGGAUUAGCUAGUUGGUGAGGUAAUGGCUCACCAAGGCGACGAUCCCUAGCUGGUCUGAGAGGAUGAUCAGCCACACUGGAACUGAGACACGGUCCAGACUCCUACGGGAGGCAGCAGUGGGGAAUAUUGCACAAUGGGCGAAAGCCUGAUGCAGCCAUGCCGCGUGUGUGAAGAAGGCCCCCGGGUUGUAAAGCACUUUCAGUAGGGAGGAAAGGGUGUAGUUUAAUACGCUACAUCUGUGACGUUACCUACAGAAGAAGCACCGGCUAACUCCGUGCCAGCAGCCGCGGUAAUACGGAGGGUGCGAGCGUUAAUCGGAAUUACUGGGCGUAAAGCGUACGCAGGCGGUUGAUUAAGCGAGAUGUGAAAUCCCUGGGCUCAACCCAGGAACUGCAUUUCGAACUGGUCAACUAGAGUAUGAGAGAGGGUGGUAGAAUUUCAGGUGUAGCGGUGAAAUGCGUAGAUAUCUGAAGGAAUACCGAUGGCGAAGGCAGCCACCUGGUUCAAUACUGACGCUCAUGUACGAAAGCGUGGGGAGCAAACGGGAUUAGAUACCCCGGUAGUCCACGCCGUAAACGAUGUCUACUAGCAGCUCGGAUUUUAUAAUCAGUUUUGCGCAGCUAACGCGUUAAGUAG
rnacentral:rRNA from 1 species